AAAAUAACCCGUUAACUAUUUGGAUUUAAAUAAGAAAUCCUAAUAAUUAAAUACAAGCGAAUCAAAUAAUUUAAGAAUUAAGUUUAUAAGAGCCCGAGUCAACGGGACUUAAAAUACAACGGGUUUUUAACUCCCGGAACCCACUAAGUUAACUAGGUAAGAUUAACCUAGUUAGUAAUGGGUAAUUAAAUAAUAAACUAUGAGUUAUAGUUUCAUUUAUGAAUAUCUAAACUUGAGGGACCAAAACCGUGAAAAAGGAAACAAGUUUUAUUUAAUAAAAAAUAAUAAUAACACACCACACACGCUAAGUGUGUGGAUCGAUCUCCAGGAGCGACCAGGAGGGUGAAAACCCUAGAACUCAACAAAUCUUGCAAAUUGAAGGUUCAAUUCAAGUCCAAAUCGAAUUCUAAAUAUAGAUUCCUGAUCCUCAUCACAAGGGGAUUACAAGUUUGACGCGUAACAAGCUAGGUGGAAGCUUGAUGAGGGAGCGGAUCAAACAAAUCAAGAAGGAAAGGAAAAGCAUAGUUCGGAUGCGAGAAAUAAAUAUCGAGUGGAUAUUUACAUCGCUAUAGAUAUUGAGGCAAGGUACUUAAAUGGGUCAAUGUAAUGAUCCGAGCCAGGUACUUUUGGAUGCCGGAAGACGAUCAAGCUCAGUGAAGAACCG